rnacentral:tmRNA from 1 species
AAAACAAGACCCGUUAAAUAUAAACGCUAAAAGAAACAACACAUUCGCAAUCGCAGCAUAAGCUGCACCGCGCGUCAGCCUGAGUUUACCCGUAGGCUUUGGUACUGGCGUCGACUAUACGGGGAACCCUUGUGUGAAUUCCCGGCAGCACAAGGCCUAACGGGAUAGGCGAGGCAGAAGCUUGUUAAUGGGCGUCCGCUGAGCCGAAACGACAAAUCAUUAACUGCGCUCGGAGAAAGUCCUGCGGACGUGCUUUUGGACGCGAGUUCGACUCUCGCCGCUUCCACCA